AUUGAACGCUGGCGGCAGGCCUAACACAUGCAAGUCGAGCGAGCGGCGGACGGGUGAGUAAUGUCUGGGAAACUGCCUGAUGGAGGGGGAUAACUACUGGAAACGGUAGCUAAUACCGCAUACCAUCCGAUUUGACCAGAUGGGAUUGGCUUGUAGGUGGGGUAAUGGCUCAACUAGGCAACGAUCCCUAGCUGGUCUGAGAGGAUGCCACGCCACACUGGAACGGAGACACGGUCCAAACUCCAACGGGUGGCAGCAGUGGGGAAUAUUGCACAAUGGGCGCAAGCCGGAUGCAGCCAUGCCGCGUGUGUGAAGAAGGCCUUCGGGUUGUAAAGCACUUUCAGCGGGGAGGCGUUACCCGCAGAAGAAGCACCGGCUAACUCCGUGCCAGCAGCCGCGGUAAUUC
rnacentral:rRNA from 1 species